rnacentral:lncRNA from 1 species
GUUUCACUUGCUCCCAAAAAGGAAGGCAAGUUUUCCUGCUUCCAUGAUGAAGAGUGCAGGUAACUCCUUUCUGGAAUUUCAGCUCACUUCCAACAGGGAAGGCGAGUUUGAGUUUUUUCCUGCUUCAAAGAUGGUAGAGAGCAGUGUUCAGCCUGAGCCCCAUUCCUAGAUUCUGAAGGAAACAGACAGCACAACAACAACAGCCUCUCUCAGUCCUCACCCAAAUCUUUCUUCUGAAAUUGGAUGCUGAUGGCCACCAAACACGUUUUUAAAAGACCAGUGCAGUUUGAAGAACAGGUCAGAAAGUCUGCCUUCGCUGAAAACUCAUUCGCUGGGAGUUGCAAUGAGCAGAUAGGACACACCCAGAAUUCGCCUGAAGGGGAGGGCUGCAGCCAGGGCGGAGACCAGAUGUGUGGGCACAAAGAUGUAGGCGAAUAACAUGAACAUUGCUUCAUCUUUGUUCCACAAGUUUCUGAGACAGCACCGGUAGGUAUGGGUCUCCCUCCCACUGGGCUGUGGCCGCAAAGCGAGCAUCUUUCUCCUGGGCGCCCCAUGCCUCCUCCAGCACCUGGCAUGUAGUAUAAGCUCAAUGAGUGUUCAUUGUAUGAACGAGUGAGUCAAUGGCUGAGCAUUCGUGAGGCUGGAAAAUUUAAUCUUCCCGAUUUAGUCUGAUAAAUGGAUUCCAUUUUAUGCUCGGAGAGCAAGGGCCUCAAAAGGUGUAACCAAGAGCAGAGGUCAGCAAACUGCAGCCUUUGAACGAAAUCCGGCCCAGAAGUGAAAACAUUUUUAGAUGAACAUUGGCAAUGGAUUUGCUGAUACAGAACACUAACUUUAAAUUCCAACCAAGCAGAAUGUUAGCACCUCCAAAAAUGAUUCCAUUCUUCUCAUUAUUAAACCUAUACUACAAAAAAACUGCCUUCGAUUAUUAUUAUUACAUUUUGAGUUUCAUCAAUUACAUAAUUGUGGAAAUUUUUAUUUUACUAUAUAAGUAGCUACAUAAUAUGCCAAAUUUGCUUCUUGGCCUGUAAAACCUAAGAUAUUUGCCAUCUGGCCCUUUACAGAAAAAGUUUGCUGACCCCUGGCCACAAGAAUAAAGUUUAGAACGGGAUGUGAUAUGUUUCAUCUUGCCUUACACCCCAGGAGUGGGAGAAAACCAAAUUGGCAGCAGGGUGGGCAGAGAUGACAUCCAUAUAUAAAUGGACUGUGGAACACCUUGUUAUGAAGGAAGGCCUGUCAGCAGUCAAAGAAUGGCUUGGGUGGGUAUACCUAGAUGGACCUCUAAAGAUCACACCCUAAGGGAAUUCAAGACCUGGUGCAUGGUUUGAGAGGUGAUUCCUGUGACAUCAGAGAGUGCAGCCUGGGCCUUCAUGGGCAAACCAAAAACAUUUGUGAUUGUAAACCCAAAGGCCUCGGCUGGCCGCAUCCAAGUCUCUUGGUUUCCCUCCAAACAUUUGCUUGGAAAUAAAGUAAAGAAAGUAAGUAAGAAUGGAUCGAGUGCAGUGGCUCACACCUGUAAUUCCAGCACUUUGUAGAGGCCGAGGCAGGAGGAUCACUUGUGCUCAGGGGUUUGAGACCAACCCG